CACGUAGGGCGCAAGCGUUGUCCGGAAUUACUGGGCGUAAAGCGCACGUAGGCGGUCAGUCAAGUCGGGUGUGAAAGCCCUGGGCUCAACCUGGGAAUUGCAUUCGAAACUAUCUGACUCGAGUAUGGGAGAGGGAAGCGGAAUUUCCGGUGUAGCGGUGAAAUGCGUAGAUAUCGGAAGGAACACCAGUGGCGAAGGCGGCUUCCUGGACCGAAUACUGACGCUGAGGUGCGAAAGCGUGGGGAGCAAACAGG
rnacentral:rRNA from 1 species